UACGUAGGUGACAAGCGUUGUUCGGAUUUACUGGGCGUAAAGAGCGCGCAGGCGGUCGAUCAAGUCGAGUGUGAAAGCCCCCGGCUCAACUGGGGAGGGUCAUUCGAUACUGAUCGACUCGAAGGCAGGAGAGGGUAGUGGAAUUCCCGGUGUAGUGGUGAAAUGCGUAGAUAUCGGGAGGAACACCAGUGGCGAAGGCGACUACCUGGCCUGUUCUUGACGCUGAGGCGCGAAAGCUAGGGGAGCAAACGGG
rnacentral:rRNA from 1 species